GUGCUAAUACCGUAUAACAAUCAAAACCGCAUGGUUUUGAUUUGAAAGGCGCUUUCGGGUGUCGCUGAUGGAUGGACCCGCGGUGCAUUAGCUAGUUGGUGAGGUAACGGCUCACCAAGGCCACGAUGCAUAGCCGACCUGAGAGGGUGAUCGGCCACAUUGGGACUGAGACACGGCCCAAACUCCUACGGGAGGCAGCAGUAGGGAAUCUUCGGCAAUGGACGAAAGUCUGACCGAGCAACGCCGCGUGAGUGAAGAAGGUUUUCGGAUCGUAAAACUCUGUUGUUAGAGAAGAACAAGGAUGAGAGUAACUGUUCAUCCCUUGACGGUAUCUAACCAGAAAGCCACGGCUAACUACGUGCCAGCAGCCGCGGUAAUACGUAGGUGGCAAGCGUUGUCCGGAUUUAUUGGGCGUAAAGCGAGCGCAGGCGGUUUCUUAAGUCUGAUGUGAAAGCCCCCGGCUCAACCGGGGAGGGUCAUUGGAAACUGGGAGACUUGAGUGCAGAAGAGGAGAGUGGAAUUCCAUGUGUAGCGGUGAAAUGCGUAGAUAUAUGGAGGAACACCAGUGGCGAAGGCGGCUCUCUGGUCUGUAACUGACGCUGAGGCUCGAAAGCGUGGGGAGCAAACAGGAUUAGAUACCCUGGUAGUCCACGCCGUAAACGAUGAGUGCUAAGUGUUGGAGGGUUUCCGCCCUUCAGUGCUGCAGCUAACGCAUUAAGCACUCCGCCUGGGGAGUACGACCGCAAGGUUGAAACUCAAAGGAAUUGACGGGGGCCCGCACAAGCGGUGGAGCAUGUGGUUUAAUUCGAAGCAACGCGAAGAACCUUACCAGGUCUUGACAUCCUUUGACCACUCUAGAGAUAGAGCUUCCCCUUCGGGGGCAAAGUGACAGGUGGUGCAUGGUUGUCGUCAGCUCGUGUCGUGAGAUGUUGGGUUAAGUCCCGCAACGAGCGCAACCCUUAUUGUUAGUUGCCAUCAUUCAGUUGGGCACUCUAGCAAGACUGCCGGUGACAAACCGGAGGAAGGUGGGGAUGACGUCAAAUCAUCAUGCCCCUUAUGACCUGGGCUACACACGUGCU
rnacentral:rRNA from 1 species